rnacentral:rRNA from 1 species
ACGUUCCCCGGGCCUUGUACNACACCGCCCGUCACACCAUGGGAGUGGGUUGCAAAAGAAGUAGGUAGCUUAACCUUCGGGAGGGCGCUUACCACUUUGUGAUUCAUGACUGGGGUGAAGUCGUAACAAGGUAACCGUAGGGGAACCUGCGGUUGGAUCACCUCCUUACCUUAAAGAA